GCUGACUUUGGUAUCUCAGCCCAGAUCGGGGCAACGCUGGCUCGACGCCUCUCUUUCAUCGGGACACCCUACUGGAUGGCUCCAGAAGUGGCAGCCGUGGCCCUGAAAGGAGGAUACAACGAGCUGUGUGACAUCUGGUCCCUGGGCAUCACAGCCAUCGAACUAGCUGAGCUACAGCCACCACUCUUUGAUGUGCACCCUCUCAGAGUUCUCUUCCUCAUGACCAAGAGUGGCUACCAGCCCCCCCGGCUAAAGGAGAAAGGCAAAUGGUAGG